rnacentral:rRNA from 1 species
AGUGAACGCUGGCGGUAGGCCUAACACAUGCAAGUCGAACGGCAGCACAGUAAGAGCUUGCUCUUACGGGUGGCGAGUGGCGGACGGGUGAGGAAUACAUCGGAAUCUACUUUUUCGUGGGGGAUAACGUAGGGAAACUUACGCUAAUACCGCAUACGACCUACGGGUGAAAGCAGGGGAUCUUCGGACCUUGCGCGAUUGAAUGAGCCGAUGUCGGAUUAGCUAGUUGGCGGGGUAAAGGCCCACCAAGGCGACGAUCCGUAGCUGGUCUGAGAGGAUGAUCAGCCACACUGGAACUGAGACACGGUCCAGACUCCUACGGGAGGCGGCAGUGGGGAAUAUUGGACAAUGGGCGCAAGCCUGAUCCAGCUAUACCGCGUGGGUGAAGAAGGCCUUCGGGUUGUAAAGCCCUUUUGUUGGGAAAGAAAAGCAGCAGGUUAAUACCCCGCUGUUCUGACGGUACCCAAAGAAUAAGCACCGGCUAACUUCGUG